rnacentral:snRNA from 2 species
CUCAUUCAGCAGGAUGUAGACUAAAACUAGGACGAUACAGAGAAGUUGAGUAUGGUCCUUGUGCAAGGAGGAAGCACAAAUUCCUAAGCAAAGACUCUA